rnacentral:rRNA from 1 species
AUUGAACGCUGGCGGCAUGCUUUACACAUGCAAGUCGAACGGUAACAGGCCGCACGGUGCUGACGAGUGGCGAACGGGGGCGUAAUGCAUCGGAACGUGCCCAGUCGUGGGGGAUAACUACUCGCAUGGGUAGCUCAUACCGCAUACGAUCUAUGAUUGAAAGCGGGGGGCUUCAAGGCCUCGCGAGAUUGGAGCUGUCGAUGUCAGAUUAGGUAGUUGGUAGGGUAAAGGCUCACCAAGCCAACGAUCUGUAGCUGGUCUGAGAGGACGACCAGCCACACUGGGACUGAGACACGGCCCAGACUCCUACGGGAGGCAGCAGUGGGGAAUUUUGGGCAAUGGGCGCAAGCCUGAUCCAGCAAUGCCACGUGCAGGAAGAAGGCCUUCGGGUUGUAAACUGCUUUUGUACGGAACGAAACGGCUCUGGUUAAUACCCGGGGAUAAUGACGGUACCGUAAGAAUAAGCACCGGCUAACUACGUG